rnacentral:lncRNA from 1 species
AUAUCAUAUUUUUUUUUUUUUUUUUUUUUUUUUUUUUUUUUUUUUUUUUUUUUUUUUUUUUUUUUUUUUUUUUUUUCCCCCCCCCCCCCCCCCCCCCCGUGUGCAGUUCUAUCUACCUGUCUAUCCAUCUAAAUUGUAGUAAGUUCCUCUGGAGGUUUGGGGUAGAGAGAAAACUUAUGAUUUCUACCCAGCUAAAAAUAUUGCUAUUGAAGAGAAUCAACAUGCUGUUGCUUUUGAGAAGAUACGGAUAAGGAGAGGGUACUGUGGAGGAGAGUAGUGGCAGGUCAGGCAGGGGAAGAAACACACAUGGGUG